rnacentral:rRNA from 1 species
AGUUUGAUCAUGGCUCAGAUUGAACGCGGAUGCUUUACACAUGCAAGUCGAACGGCAGCACGGACUUCGGUCUGGUGGCGAGUGGCGAACGGGUGAGUAAUGUAUCGGAACGUGCCUAGUAGCGGGGAUAACUACGCGAAAGCGUAGCUAAUACCGCAUACGCCCUUCGGGGAAAGCGGGGGACCUUCGGCCUCGCACUAUUAGAGCGGCCGAUAUCGGAUUAGCUAGUUGGUGGGGUAACGGCUUCACCAAGGCACAGAUCCGUAGCCGGUUUGAGAGGACGACCAGCCACACUGGGACUGGAGACGGCCCAGACUCCUACGGGAGGCAGCAGUGGGGAAUUUUGGACAAUGGGGGAAACCCCUGAUCCAGCCAUCCCGCGUGUGCGAUGAAGGCCUUCGGGUUGUAAAGCACUUUUGGCAGGAAGAAACGCACGGGAUAAUACCCUCGUGCAACUGACGGUACCCGCAGAAUAAGCACCGGCUAACUACGUGCCAGCAGCCGCGGUAAUACGUAGGGUGCAAGCGUUAAUCGGAAUUACUGGGCGUAAAGCGUGCGCAGGCGGUUCGGAAAGAAAGAUGUGAAAUCCCAGAGCUUAACUUUGGAACUGCAUUUUUAACUACCGAGCUAGAGUGUGUCAGAGGGAGGUGGAAUUCCGCGUGUAGCAGUGAAAUGCGUAGAUAUGCGGAGGAACACCGAUGGCGAAGGCAGCCUCCUGGGAUAACACUGACGCUCAUGCACGAAAGCGUGGGGAGCAAACAGGAUGGGGAUACCCUGGUAGUCCACGCCCUAAACGAUGUCAACUAGCUGUUGGGGCCUUCGGGCCUUGGUAGCGCAGCUUAAUGCGUGAAGUUGACCGCCUGGGAGUACGGUCGCAAGAUUAAAACUCAAAGGAAUUGACGGGGACCCGCACAAGUUGUGGAUGAUGGAUGAAUUCCGAUGCAACGCGAAACCUGCUCACCCUUGACAUGUCUGGAAUCCCGAAGAGAUUUGGGAGUGCUCGCAAGAGAACCGAACACAGGUGCUGCAUGGCUGUCGUCAGCUCGUGUCGUGAGAUGCUGGGUUAAGUCCCGCAACGAGCGCAACCCCUGUCAUUAGUUGCUACGAAAGGGCACUUGACGAGACUGCCGGUGACAAACCGGAUGAAGGUGGGGAUGACGUCAAGUCCUCAUGGCCCUUAUGGGUAGGUCGCACACGUCAUAUUAAUGGUCGGGACAGAGGGUCGCCAACCCAUAGAGGAGCCAAUCCCAGAAACCCGAUCGUAGUCCGGAUCGCAGUCUGCAACUCGACUGCAGUCGGAAUCGCUAGUAAUCGCGGAUCAGUGUCGCGGUGAAUACGUUCCUGGCGAAGCACCCGCCCGUCACACCAUGGGAGUGGGUUUUACCAGAAGAAGUAGCCUCGAAACUGGGGAGGGCGAUUACCACGGUAGGAUUCAUGAUUGGGGUGAAGUCGUAACAAGGUAG